UCGUAUAGUUUCUGCCAACAAUCUUUGGACAUUUGCAAACAUGAUUCAUCUCUGUUUUAUAUAUCCUCGAAUGGAAUAGCUUUUCUUCUGAGGUUUUCUUGGUAGAUGGGAAAGCCUGAGACCACUUAUUGAAGCUAUAGCCAGAUCCAAGCAUUCCUGCAUAUUGCUUGCUUAAGUUGGCCAUUUGACCAGGCGAAUUUCUAUCCCACAUACCCCAAAUCCCUAGUGUUACACAAUGCAACAUCCUGCAAUGCUUUGAUUUGAUUUAUUUUCCUUAUUUUAAGCCAUUUCUGAAAAUCUUUGAUCUGGAGAAGAUGAUUUCUGGUAGUGCAUGGUGCUCAAUCCAUAUCCAUAAGAUUCAUAUUAGAAGAGGAGGGUUUAGGGUUUAGGGUUUAAGGGUUUAGGGUUUAGGGUGCAAUAAUGGCCGUUGAUUCUGCAUAGUAUAAUGCAUACCUUGACAUAUUUUUCUGAAUAUAUCUGAUUGCCAAAGGAUCCAUUCCUAGGAUGCAUGGAAGUGAUAAGCUUUGGCUCCAUUCUGUUCAUAUUAUAACUUUGAACAUUAAAAUUACUUCUAGUGGAACUAAACCUGAUCCAGAUAGGUCAGCAUUUAUUAACAUGUGAUUUGUUUUUGGAGCAUAUUCUGUUCAUUUUACCUACUUUAUCACCUCAUUAUCCAAAUCCUUCCUAUUUCUUAUCAGAAACCUUACUUGACCCACCAAAUUACGUUUCUAUUAGCUUCUGAUUAUUCACCUUUUUUUUUAAGCACUGGAAGCCACAAUGAGAUAAAUAUUUACUAUGAUAUGUUCAAAAUUAGGAGUUUUUUUUUUCAGAACUAUAUAUCUUGCAAUAUCAAGUGUCACAUUCAGAUUGCACAGAGAUUUCUUCUACAAGUAGACAAUAAUUCACUUACAAUAUACACCUGCUCUUUUAUUUAUUUAUUUAUUUUUCUGAUCAUUGUAUCAUGCUCUUUUAACUGGGAAUCAUUUUACUCCAUAGUUCAUCUUCUUAUUCUCCAAAUUCUCAUAAGCUAUUUUCUCAAGCACCUUCAACUUAGGUGCUAGGACCAUGUCAAUACUUAUGUACUGUGUCUCAACCAGAUCUAUUUAAUCUGGGAGUCAACUCAUGCUGAUCUGUACUGGAUAAUGCAUAAUAUGCCAAACAUGGUAUUGGCGCCCACAAGGUGAUGAUUCCAACAGCAUUUUGCUGGUACAGUGCUUGUGCCAGCUACUUUGCUUGAUGGACACAGUACUGGAAUGCAAGCAUGUUAUAUUGUAAAUAGUUUUUACCACAUUUUGUUCUUAAGCAUUCUUUAAGGUCCAACUUAUUCAAUAUUCAAUAGAAAAUCUCUUUCAUUUUUGUGCUUGAAGUCUGUAAAUGUCAAAAAGUUUAGGAGAAAUAUAAAUUCAUACUGUAAGGAAAAAUGUCCCGAUCCUGAUUUUUUCUCAUCCAACCAUUUCCUCUGCCGCAUUCAUUUCCAUCCCUGAUCUUCCUCUUUAUUUGCGUCAGCUAUUUCCAGCCAGAGUGAUAAGUCCGGAUCACCAACUGCUAACUAAAUCAUAUCAUCAUUUUGCAGACAGAAGAUGUGGAAUGGAUGAUGUUCCAGAGACUGACUUCCUCAGUUGGAUUUCUCUUAUAACAUAUUAUUUGAGCUCUUAUAUACCAAAUAGUAAGCAACUUGAUAUAUUUCCUUCUGAAAAAUGGAAAUAUUGGCAAUGCUUUUACUAGGCGCUUUAUUCUCCCUUUCUCACAAUCUGUUAUCAGAAAAAGGUCUUGACUACAACUCUUGCAGCAGCAGGGCAGGCCUCCCUGGCUAAGGACUGUCACCCCUACAGCCACUGAUGAUUUGACACCCCCUACUGUAGGGGUUGGCCUUUGGGAAGCUAUGGCAGUUGUAGUAAGGGACUCCAGGUUUGGAGCAAGGCACCACAUCCCCCUUGAGAGCCUCAUAGCUUAUGUACUUCUUCUCGGUGACAGCCCACAGCAGCCUCCUGUUCUCCUCUGAGUUCAUCUCCAACUCCACCCCAUCCUCCAGCAAGCAUCUUCCAACUUUUCUACUGCAAGGCAGCUUCACCACCACCUCCACAGCAGUGCUCUUCUCCAGGAGGAGGAGAACAAGGAGAAGUGACGCCAACAUGGGCGGAGUCUUCCUCGGAGUGAAGCCUGAGCUGAGCUUUGCCAUGACUUCUUCUUGCUCGUUUGUGACCUGCCUUCUCUUUGUUUCUGUGGGUGAGGGGCUUUAAUGAGAUGUCAGCUCUUCCACCUACUUCGGCUUCGUGGUCCGGGAGGAGCCGCAGCAACCAAGUCAUUGACUUCACACUGCUUUUAUGGGUGCGCGGACAAAUGGAUAGUGGAAUAUGGACUUUAUUAUUAGUAUAACUCAUGGUACAUUAUAAGAUUAUCAUUUUAUA